ensembl:lncRNA
GACUUGGCCUGGAGUCACUUCUCAGCUCCAUUCCAGUGACUCGUCGGAUUGGACUUCUUUAACAAAGCCCAGGUUCAGGGUUUGCAAAGGCAGCAGGAAGAGCAAUGCCUAAAAGGGAGUGUGGAAGUUCCAUUCCUUUCUCCGGGGUCAAAGCACAUGCAGCUGGUGCUUCUGCCCCAAAGUGCCAUGGGUUCCAUAUCACCAUGCCUCAUCCGAGAAGGGGAACACAUCCUCUUGACUAACUCCGUUGCUCCAUGGUGCCAGUUCAUCCCAGGUGGGAAGUUGGCAUCCUCCCUGGGCAGCUACCUGUUUCACAUUUCCAUCAGAACUAUGUCUUGGGCAUGGUAGGAGGGAAGCAGACUGGUGCCUAGGUUUGAAUCAGAACUGUCGGUCAACCCCUCAACUUAUUUGGGCUUUUAUCACUGCAGUGCCCAUGUAAUUUGUCCUCUAAACCAGGACUCAUGAGCGAGACUUUGAUCAAUAAUUAAACAGGGCCAGAGUUCCUGGUGUGGUUCAGUGGGUUAGACGUCGUGUCUAUGAGGAUGUGAGUUCGAUCCCUACCUCACUCAGUGGGGUAAGGAGCUGGGUAUUGCCAUGCAAGCUGUGGCAUGGGUUGUGGAUCCAGAUCAAAUUAGGCAUUGCUGUGGCAUAGGCCUCAGCUACAGCUAUGAUUUGACCCCUAGCCUAGGAACAUCCGUAUGCCACAGGUGCAGCCCUAAAAAGGGGAAAACAAACAAACAAAAAAAACAGCCAUAAAUUUGGAGUGUCCCAGGCAAAUCAGAAUGAACAGCCAACCUAAUUAUCCCCUCAUCCCCAGUUUCCAUGAGAAAUCCAAAUAUAUUGUGAUAUCCUGCAACAUACAUAUUUUUCUCUGGCACUGCAAUACAAACCCAAUGCGAUCUUUACGACCAAGACUAGAUACUUAUUCAUACCUGUGGCAAAACUAUUAUCAUUUAGGAGUGAAUUUUCUAAUCCUCAGUCUUUCCAUUUUAUGGGUGCAUGCAUUCCUUUUUAUGUUACAUGCUAAGAUCUUGCUCAUAGUUUUCUGCCACCUUCUAGGAAUGGAGCUUGACUUAUUGCCUUAGUUUACCUCCCAAAGUUUGUUGGGAGAGUUAUGGUGCUUUUACAUGGUAAUUUCAUUUCUUCAGCAAUAGCAGUUGUGAAAAAGUAACAGUGAUUCACUGGUCCCUGGGUGCCCAGCCCUGUGCUGAGAGACUUACAGCCCUCACACCCUCCCCUCUCUGCAACUGAAGCAGUUAAAUAAUUUGUGUGCUCACAGAGCUUAUUUUUGCAGAGCCCACUUGACUGUACUGAACAGCCUGGCUUGAAGGCUGUGUACAUGUAUGGUCUGCACUCCUAGUGAAGGGAUGUGUUCCUUUAGUGAGAUGUUACUGUUUCCUUUAGUGAAAAGGCCACAUUUAAGUCUGUUUCUCACUCAGUGACUCUUUCCCAGCCCAGGGUGCACCUUGUUUCAACUUGGCGUAUUUUCUUUGCAGCUGUGGUUGACACAGUGCGAGGGUAGCUUCCUUUCCUUACAAAGAUACAUUAAAUGUGAUUAUAGUGUCACAUUCUUGUAACUGAGCUCCGAUCACUGUGGAGAUGUAAUUUUCAUGGAAUGAGUACUAUGAGAAAUUCAACUCAAAUGUUUUUAAAGCCAUCUUGAAUAUUCCAGAAUGUAUGCAACACUGAGUCCCAUGACAGUGGAUUAGGUCAUCUGUUUAUUAGGAUGGCCUGGUUUCCUUGUGUUUAUAGCAUCCUUGAGAGCUUCUAGGGUCCAAGGACCAGAGCAGGUGGUGUCUCAAUGCCGAUGUGUGUGAGUGCUGUCAGCACACAUGGACUUCCCAGCCUGGCUCCAGUGGAGCUCCUCUCUCAGUAGCCAAGGAAGGGGCCCCAGGAAACAAGCGACUUUUAAUCAGUUUUCUACGUUCUGGGAGCUCCUCGUGCAUUAUUUAGUCCUCAUAACAACGCUAUGAGAUGAGUUGUGUUUUCUCCCACUUUACAGAUGGAGAAAUCGAGGUCCAAAGAUGUAAAGUGACUCACUGUGAGUCUCAGAUUGUUGGUCUUUGCAUAAAACCCAGAGUUGAGUGGUCCAGGUUCACGCUCUGCCCACCCUGUGUUGCCAGCUCCCUCCCUGGCCUCUGGUCAACAUAUCCCCUCCCCACAGCUUCCUUACAGAAUACCUGUCCUUCGAAGCACUGGAUCCUGGGUUUUCCUUCUGGGUGUCACUUUCCAGGCGAGCUUGUGAUGCUUUGGCAGAAGAACUUUCGUGCGUUUCAUGGAGCAACGUCACUGAGCCCGCGCCGAUGGAAAUAGGAUGGUCACCUUCCCUGUCUAGUCCACUCGUAGCUGAAAUAAGCUCUUUAGCGGAUUCCGCCAGACGGGAAGAAAUGAAUGUGUUGCUUGAAAAGGUUUUUCACCAACUUCGCAUUUAGGCCGUUACACCCUGAAAGGAAGCCUGAGAGCACAGGCAAGUUGACACCUCCUGGGUAGCAUCAGCCCAGAAGCACCAGCAUCAAGCGGACUUCCAAGGCUGUGAGCACCGGGGUGUCUUAGGACCCAUAUCUGAGUGUUUGUAACCAAAUGAGCCUACAGAUAAAUCGUUAACAAGGGUCACCUCCACCACACACACACACACACACACACACACCUGCAAGGUGAGAGGGUUGCACUCAAAGUUUACAGGAAGUGAACCCUGUGCUGUGUAGCCCUAACCGCUCUCCAGGGGACUCCGAUGGCUCCUGGGGACAGUGUCUUGUCCAAGUUCAGGGCAGUGGGGGUCACGCAUAAUAUUGUGGUUUGUUUCAGGGAACGCGUAAGCCAAACCCUCCUCAGAAGCCUCUGCCUGCAGAUCCUUUGAGCAAGACGACCCGGCUCGCUGGCGCCUCCACCAGGACCCCGGGACAGCAGGAGUCUGCGCUCCGCCUGGUGCCCCUCAGACCUGCUCCGAAACAGCCCCAUCAAGUGCCCAGAUCUACCCACCUCGCCUCUGCCAAGUGAGAAGCAAGCCCACACCUUUUUUCAACAGUGAAGACAGAAGUUUGCACUAUCUCUCAACUCCAGUUGGAGUUAUUUUUAGUACCAACUUUUAGGAUUUUUUUUUUUUUAAUGUUUAAAACAUCACGAUUUGAAGAACUUUGAGCUACUGCCGUCGGUGCUGUGCUGUGCUAUGGUGCUCUGUAUACUUGCUCAGAGACGCCAUCUAGGGUCAUGCCAGUGGUUUUUCUAUGCCUUGAAGCAGAAAGACAAAACGUACCAAGAAUCUCGGCUUGCCUUCCAGGAAACAAGAGUGCAUUUAACUCUCCCCCGGUUCCCACCGUAUCUAGGCAACACGGGACUCGCGAUCGGGGAUCCCCUCAACAAACCCGUGUCCCCAGCACACACGCAAGGGAACUCAGCUCUGAUACAUUCCAACCCCUACAGCAACUGUUUAUCAUGCCAUUAUCAACGUCUUACAACUAUAAAGCCACGCUAGAAAAUACGACUGCUGAUGAGUACCUACAGAAUGACUGUAACUGGUAUUAUAUUGGUAAUUCUAUUAAGGCCAAAACAUACGCUGUUGAAAAGUUCACAGACUUUGUAUGGUGCAUCACGUGUGGCUAUUGCCUUUGUAGAGGCCCAGAUCCUCAGAUCAGCAUCGUAACCCCUUUUGGUGCAAGGAAGAGGAUGUGAACUUUUUUUUUGGUCUCUUCUUGACCAUAAUUCCUGUGCUUCUCUUCCCGAGAAGCAGGAAGAGUUUGGUAUCAGAGGUGGCUAAUGCUGUGAGCUCACACCUCGUCAUCCAUGGCCGCUUGGGGGCCACGGCUGAUGACACAGUCUUAUCUCUACAGUCCUCGGUGCUUUUAUAGAGCCAUGCAAUUUAUUUGCUGGAAAAGAACAUAUUUAAACCUAAUAGCCCCUGACAGGCCACAGAUAAUAUUAUUGAAGAGAUGAUACUUCCAAAUGCAGGAGCUAUCAAAUGAAGCCUAUCUAGCAAUAACUUUCAUGUUCAUAUAUCUUAGGAAAGGAGCCAAUAGCCAGGUUGCUGGGGGGAAGGGAGGUAGUCCUCUCUCUCUCCCCCCCCCGGCCUUUUUUUAUAUCCUCAUAGACGAUAGCAACUAAAAUCAAUACUUAUAUUUCGACACCAGUCUAUUUUUACUAUUUUUUAAACUGUAUAGUCAUGAGUGAUAGCAUUGAUGUGCGGCUAGAAGGCCCUCGCUGAGAGUCAGCGUGCCUGACACAGAGGUGGCCCUGAGAAGCGUCACUGCCCUUCUUCCUCUGUCUUGUAACAGCCGUAGGUUCUCUGACCCCGCUUUCCUGGGAAAUAGACAGCCAAACUUCCAGGCACCCUAGUGACAUGUUUUAUCUCGUGAAAUUUUGUGUAAGUUUGUUUUCCUGACACAUGGAAUCAGAUGUGUAGCAACCAAGAGAAACAAUGCUUAACAUUUUCCAUUGUCAAAAUAUGCACACACAGCCUGCACUUCCCAGUGUGAAUUUUUCCAGCUUACACAUGUGGGAUGACAUCACAGAAACCGCAAGAGCCACAGUUUCAACUGCAUGAGAAUAAAUACUCCCGACCCGUCUCAAAGGGGACGUUUUUAUGCCUUCUUAACUUUAUUAGGAAUUCUCAGGCUGAAACCACGAGCCAUUGUUCUCUGGCAAAUCAAUGCAGCACAUCAGCGGCUCCCCCCAAAGAAAAACAGCGCGGACACUGCGCUGCGGCCGAGGUUUCGGAGGAGCCCACCAUCUCCCACGGUGCUAACAGGAGCUGGUGCUGGGCCGCCUAGAAUGUUCCAGCAAUGCUCCAGCCCCCUUCUAUGGGCCCUCAACUGCUGUUUACAAAGCGCUCUGAGCCACUGAGACCCCGCCAGCAAGAGGGCGUGGUGCCUGGGCAGGAACCUGACCCCUUUUCGGGUUUUGAUCGUGAGGUUUAUUUCACUGAAAACUUCCCUAGGUGUUUGAGGGGCAGGAGGGCCCAGGGCAGACGGCCUGGUGAGCCUUCCUAGCUGUUAUCAAAAUGGCCCUGGCAAAACACAAGUCCCCCAGAUAAGCUCUACCCCCAAGGGUCUCCCAGGGCCGGUGCUCACUCCCCGGGCGUGACUCAGGCUGUAGAGUCUACACACCACGGCUGGCUGGUGGGGAACGUGGCAGCCAGGUGCCACCUGUCCUCCUCGCCAGGGCUCAUGAGUGGGCCAUAAACACACGUGGACACAGGCAGCCUAGGCUAGGACAUCUCCCUGCCUCUCUCUCUCACCCAGACACAAGUUCCUCUCCCAGGUCAAAUCCAAUGCUGACGCCUCCACAAUCCCCGACCAGUCUCUGCAUGUGUAGCUACUUGCAGCUAAAGUGUCGAUGCAGCAGCAAGUGGCCACCCCACAAGUGUACCCACUGGCUGCCCAAAGCCCAGCCUCCUCCAGCUGCACAGCGCAGAAUGACCCACCUGCUCCCGCAGCAGAAUCCCUCCCAGAGGCACCUCCCACCUAAAGACAUUCCAAUGUACCUGUGAUUACAAAAUUCCCAUGACUCACUCUGCACUUCCUGUUGGCAUCUGUUUCUCUUAAACCUACUUGAAAGCUCUGAUGGUCAUCCCAGUAGCGACACUCUAAGAAUGAUUCAGGAGCCCCGAGCGGAGAACUGCC